CACCCAAUAGCUAGCCCCACCAACAAAAUACAACAAAUCAACACUUAUAAUCCCUAAGACCCUAAAAAAUAAAAACAAACCAUUUUUCCUCCUUAGUAUGGGUGACAGAAAAGCAACCUUGGGCGCAAUAGAGAAAGUACCGCAAGGGAACGCUGAAAGAGAAAUGAAAAACUCAGUAAAGUAAAAAAAAGCAAAGAUUAACCCUUGUACCUUUUGCAUCAUGAUUUAGCCAGAAACAUUUAAGCAAAGAGCACUUUAGUUUACCUCCCCGAAACUAAGUGAGCUACUCCAAGACAGUCUAAAAUAGGACGAACCCGUCUCUGUGGCAAAAGAGUGGGAAGAGCUUCGAGUAGAGGUGACAGACCUAUCGAACUUAGUUAUAGCUGGUUGCCUAAAAAAUGGAUAGAAGUUCAGCUUUUUGGUUUUCUCCUUUCCCUUUGGCCUCAAGCUUACAGCCGAUUUAUAUAAGAAACCAAAAAAGUUAUUUAACGGGGGUACAGCCCCUUUAAAUAAAGAUACAACUUUAAUAGACGGAUAAAGAUCAUAAUAAACAAAGCUAAGUAUUUCAGUGGGCCCAAAAGCAGCCACCUAAAAGAAAGCGUUAAAGCUCAAAUACGCCUCACAUCUCCUAAUUCAGAUAAUACAUCUUAUUCCACUGACUUUAUUAGGCUAUCCCAUGCCCGCAUGGGAGAAAUUAUGCUAAUAUGGUAAUAAAGGGGCCCCUCCCCCUCCCCCGCACAUGUGUAUAUCGGAACGGACCCGCCACCGAAAUUUAACGGCCCCAAAAAAAGAGGGUAAUGAACAAAAAACAGAAUACAAGAAAACCACCCAAAAACAACCGUUAACCCCACACUGGUGUGCAUAAAAGGAAAGACUAAAAGAAAAAGAAGGAACUCGGCAAACACAAGCCCCGCCUGUUUACCAAAAACAUCGCCUCUUGCAACCAAGAAUAAGAGGUCCCGCCUGCCCUGUGACAAGAAGUUUAACGGCCGCGGUACUUUGACCGUGCAAAGGUAGCGCAAUCACUUGUCUUUUAAAUGGAGACCUGUAUGAAUGGCAUAACGAAGGCUUAACUGUCUCCUUUUUCCAGUCAAUGAAAUUGAUCUCUCCGUGCAGAAGCGGAGAUAAAACCAUAAGACGAGAAGACCCUAUGGAGCUUUAGACACAAAGCAGACCUUUCCCACUAACAAGUCAACGAGAUGAACCAAAAAGAAUCCUGCCCUAAUGUCUUUGGUUGGGGCGACCGCGGAGCAUACAAAACCCCCGUGUGGAUCGAGUAUACUAUUCUUGCAACCAUGAGCGACAGCUCUAAUUAACAGAACUUCUGACCUCCAGACCCGGCAAUGCCGAUUUACGGACCGAGUUACCCUAGGGAUAACAGCGCAAUCCUCUUUUAGAGCCCAUAUCGACAAGGGGGUUUACGACCUCGAUGUUGGAUCAGGACAUCCUAAUGGUGCAGCCGCUAUUAAGGGUUCGUUUGUUCAACGAUUAAAGUCCU
rnacentral:rRNA from 1 species